CUGUGUUUGAAUAAACUCUGCUCUGAACAGAGCUUGGGCCUCUGCACAGGAUCCCUGGGCCAGGACUUUGGGCCCCGCCAGCCAUCUCAGCUGAGGCCAGAGCCCUGGGGUCCGCAGGAUGGCUUCAGCCAGGGGCCUGGCCUAGCUGGCCGCUCCCCAGGGAAGCUGCAGGGGGAGCGCCUUACCUCAGAAGCGGGAGGAGUCUCUGCAUCUCAAGGUUGAAGUCCGCAGCAUCUGAAGGGGACCUGGGCCGGAUAUGGAGAUGCAGAGCACGGGGCAGAUGUCAGCUUGGACCCACCAGGCUAGUCUGGGACAUAGCCAUCUUGAGGGGAGGCAGCUCCCUGCCCAGCCCGGACCCUACUUCAGUCCCCAUCCACGACUUUAAAACAUAGACCUCUGCCUCCCUGUUCACAUCUCCCUUUGUGAUCGUGCCAUAUGCAUAUACAACAGGAUUCUUCACUGAACUUGGAGCUAGCCGUUUGCCUAAACUGGCUGGUCAGCAAGCCCGGGAUCCUCCCCUCUCUGCAUCCCCAGUGCUGAUACAGAAAGGCAGAUUUGAGGAUAUAGAAGAAAAACAAAACCAGUUUCUCUGAGUGCUCUCUCACAACACAGAAGUGUGAGCACCAAGAGACAGCCGUUCUGCAGCGAGGCCUGCUGCCCUCUAGUUCUGAUGCUCUCUACCUGGAGGUAGUGUCGGUGCCCACAAGCGGAGGUCUCAGUUGCAUGAGACUGUCUCCUGCUUCAAACACCAGCUGAAAGACCAGAGUUCUGCAACUUCUCCCUGUCCAGGCUCUACAACAACAGAUUUUCCACGACUCAUUCUCAGACCACCCUCUAGGAACUUCUACAUGUUCAGUCAGCUGGAAGCCCUCCAAAACCAGUAUUUGGGGAGGGGGGUUCAUGGAAGUUUAAUUAUGUAGACAUGACCAUCAGCGAUCAACUCAACCACCAGCUUCCCUCCAGGAGAUUGGCAGGCGGAGCUGAAAAUCAACGUCCAUCAUGCUGGGUUCUUCCCAGUGAUCAGUUCUCAUCCUGAAGCUUCCUAAGGGCCCAGCCACCAGCAACUCAUUCUCACACCAAAAACAUAUCACUUGGGAAAUCCUGGGGUUCCUAGGGGUUCUGAGAAGGGAGACAUGGAGGGUGACCAAGUAGAUAUUUCACAGUAUCAGCAGCCAUAUUUGCAGAUAAUUGCCCCCCAGUCUUCUCAUUUAUGCCCUAAUUGCAUUAAGUAGGACCUUCUGAACAGUAUGUGCAUAAUUACCUAACAAGAUGGCUGAAAGCAUCUUGUAUUUAACUGGAACCCUUCCUGAUUCUCAUUCUGUUGGCGUUAGCUAUGCAUUUGAAAUUUAUUGUGUUCGUCUGUGUGUAUAUAUGUGUGCAUGCACAUGUCUGUAUGUGGAGGUAGAGGUCUGUCUAUGUUUAGUGUCUUCCUUGGUCACUCUCCACCUUAUUUUUUGUUAAGAUUUAUGUAUGUUUAUUUCAUAUGUUUGAGUGUUUUGCUAACGUGUAUGUCUGUGCACUGUGUACAUGCAGUGCCUG